AACAAUUUCAGUAUAAAUUAUUGCACAAAAUUUCACCUAACUGCAAAUACAUGUUAUAUAAAUAAGUGACUAAAAGGGAAAAAAGCAAAUAUUCCUUCUGUUAUAAUAAAGAGAACACGACAAAACAUUUGUUCUAUGAUUGUAAUGUUACUUAUAUUUUUCUUUUUACACAAAAGCUGGUCACACGAUACAACAAAAGUUAUUAACGGACCUUGACUAGCUAUACAGCCCUCACACGGUCGGUAAAAGGUCACAGGAUGACCUAUUUAGCAUGAAUUAAAAAGAAAUUGUGUUAGGAUUGAGGACUAAAUGUGUAUUUAUAAAUUUGUUAAUUAUUAUAUCUCAAAACUACUUCUUCAAAUGUAAGUUAAGAAAUAUGCAUGUAGCUACUAGUAUAAUAUACUACAAUCUAGAAUAAAACAAUACCAAUCUAAUAAAUGUUAUAUUGUAAACCAAAAAAAUGAGGCAAAUGUUUAUUGAAGAUCUGGUUUCCAUUACAUAAAUAUAUUCGUGAUUUAUUAUUUUUUGUAUUUUUAUUUAUACUUCAUGUAAGCUACAUGUAGUGAGCAGUUGAUAUUUGUAUUUAUCGUAUGAGGCCAAAUAAAAAUAUAUGUAUGGUUCUAGUAACCCUACCGUCCCUACCUUUCCGGCUUAAAAAUAGCCUACCCUAAAGAUUUUAUUGUCAUUUUUCAUUAAGCACUGUUAAAGUCAGAAUGUUGGUCCUAUAGACUCAAUGUGAAAAAAAAAACAUAAAAUAAAAAAAAAUCCUUACCUACCUACCCUAACUUUUUUUCAGAUGUAACUGGAACCACACAUACUUUUUUAUUUGGCCAUGUAUUUGCGUGCAUACUAAUAGUAAGAUUGCAGUGAUUAUGUUUAAUAGUGAGUUGUUGAUUUUUUCAAGUAUGUUCUUGUUUAAUUCACAGGAAUUUUAAAAAGAGAAAAAUGGAUAGUCUUAAUCUUGUCAUAUCAUUUAUAAGACUUACCCACAAAAACUGGUGUGGUGGUGAUAAUUAGUGGUUUGUAUUAUUAAUCUGUAACAAAUAAAAGAUUUUUU
rnacentral:lncRNA from 1 species